GAGCCCGGAGCCCCUCUCUGAUCUCCAUCGCCGUCAUGGCUGCCGCCUCUGUCCAUCUUGAAUCCGGCGACCUCGUGCUUUCCCCCUUAGCUCCUCCACCACCAGAGCAUUCCCCAAGGUCCAGCGAGCCGCCCCGUAGCCUCGGCCUCUUCUCUCCUCCACCGUAGCCCCCACUUCACCGGCGACAAAAGAUCCUCUCCGCCGCGGGCCCUGCAGCCCCUUCUCUGGUGCUCCUCGGCGGCAGUAACCACCACCCCGAGAUGCGCCUCUCCGUCCUGCGCAUUUCGGUAGGUCGCCCGUCUCCUAUGGUGGCCGGAUGCGCCGGCGGUCGCCGUUGGGGCGCGCCUGCUCCCUCGGCCAGGCGAGCACUGCGCGGGAGGAAGGAGAAGACCGACCGGGCGGGCUCCGCCUCCAUGCGGGCCCCGCAAGUCAGCCACCCAGGGGUUGACCUGGUUCGCUGACCUGGCGUAAGUGGAGACGCCCCGGGUCGGAUGCGCUUUCGUCUCACGAAAGCGUACUUCGCCGCGCUUCAGAGAGGAAUGCGUUUUCGUUUUCUGAAAACGUACUUUCUAUCACCUUCGAUUAGUCCCUGUCAUUCCAACGGCCGUAUCUUUGCAACCGUAACUCCGAUUGAGCCCCCUCCUGGAGAGAACUAUUUCCGGCAAAUCUUUCUGCGAUCGUUCCGCACUUUUUCCUGGAGUAUUUGUCGACCCCCAAGCAAGCCAGCCUCUUAUCAUGAGCCCCGAACUUGCAUGUUGACUUUGCUUGCACCUUGUGUGUGUGUGUG